GACGAACGCUGGCGGCGUGCCUAAUACAUGCAAGUCGAGCGAAGUUUUUCUGGUGCUUGCACCGGAAAAACUUAGCGGCGAACGGGUGAGUAACACGUAAAGAACCUGCCUCAUAGACUGGGACAACUAUUGGAAACGAUAGCUAAUACCGGAUAACAGCAUUAACUGCAUGGUUGAUGUUUAAAAGUUGGUUUUGCUAACACUAUGAGAUGGCUUUGCGGUGCAUUAGCUAGUUGGUGGGGGAAAGGCCUACCAAGGCGACGAUGCAUAGCCGACCUGAGAGGGUGAUCGGCCAAACGGGGAAUGAGACACGGCAAAGAGUCAGACGGGAGGCAGAAGUAGGGAAUCUUCCGCAAUGGGCGAAAGCCUGACGGAGCAACGCCGCGUGAGUGAAGAAGGAUUUCGGUUCGUAAAGCUCUGUUGUUAGGGAAGAAUGAUUGUGUAGUAACUAUACACAGUAGAGACGGUACCUAACCAGAAAGCCACGGCUAACUACGUG
rnacentral:rRNA from 1 species